GGUCAAUGAUGCUUGGCAUGUAUUAACUGAUUUAAGCUGAAGACUUCUGCUUUAGCUCUAGAAUUACUCUGAGACCUC
rnacentral:snoRNA from 1 species